rnacentral:rRNA from 1 species
AACGCUGGGGGAGUGCUUAAUACAUGCAAGUCCAACCAGAAACCCUGACUUCAGUUGGGGUGGACAGUGGCCACCCAUUUAGUAACACAUGGAUAAUCUACCUCAAUGUCUAAUAUAAUCCUUCCAAAGGGGGUCUAAUACCGGAUAAUAUCUUUUGAUGGCAUCAUCCAAAGAUCAAAGGCGGGGCAACCUGUCCCAUAGAGAUGAGUCCCCGCUCCAUUAGCUUGUUGGUAAGGUAAAAGCUUACCAAGGCGACGAUGGAUAGCCCGCCUGAGAGGGUGAACGGCCACACUGGGACUGGGAGGUGGCCCUGACUCCUACGGGAGGCAACAAUAAGGAAUAUUGCGCAAUGGACGAAAGUCUGACGCAGCAACGCCGCGUGGGUGAUGAAGCUCUUUGGAGUGUAAAACCCUGUUAGAAGGGAAGAAACCCAUGGGUAGUAACUGACCUAUGCCUGACCGUACCUUCAGAGAAAGCACCGGCUAACUCCCUGCCAUCAGCCGCCGGUAAUACGGGGGGUGCAAGCGUUGUUCGGAUUUACUGGGCGUAAAGGGCGCGUAGGCGGACCAACAAGUCAGAUGUGAAAUCUGUAGGCUUAACCUACAGCCUGCAUUUGAAACUGUUGGUCUUGAGUGCAGGAGAGGAGAGCGGAAUUCCAGGUGUAGCGGUGAAAUGCGUAGAUAUCUGGAAGAACACCAGUUGCGAAGGCGGCUCUCUGGACUGACACUGACGCUAAAGCGCGAAGGCUUGGGUAGCAAACAGGAUUAGAUACCCUGGUAGUCCAAGCGGUAAACGAUGGGUACUAGGUGUCAGGGGUCUCGACCCCCUUGGUGCCGCAGCUAACGCAUUAAGUACCCCGCCUGGGGAGUACGAUCGCAAGAUUGAAACUCAAAGGAAUUGACGGGUCCCCGCACAAGCGGUGGAGUAUGUGGUUUAAUUCGAAGCAACGCGCAGAACCUUCCCUGGGUUUGACAUGUUUAUGACAUCCGGUGAAAGCCGGCCUUCCCUUCGGGGACAUUUACACAGGUGCUGCAUGGCUGUCGUCAGCUCGUGCCGUGAGGUGUUGGGUUAAGUCCCGCAACGAGCGCGACCCCUAUCCAUAGUCGCCAUCAGGUUACGCUGGGAACUCUAUGGAGACUGCCGGGACAAGUCGGAGGAAGGUGGGGACGACGUCAAGUCCUCAUGGCCCUUACACCCAGGGCUACACACGUACUACAAUGGUCGGUACGGAAGGUUGCAAUAUCGCAAGAUGGAGCCAAUCCCUAAACCGGCCUCAGUUCAGAU